UUUGUGCAUGUGACAGAGGGAGGAGAAAUAAAUGACACAUGAUUCAAGGGUUACAGUAAGACUAUGUGCAUUUGCUUCGGGACACAACAGCAUGGCAUAAAUGAGUGCAGUGUGUUUGUAUGACAUGGAGGCACAUGACUAUGCACACCACUGGGCAGCUCUGUAAAGAGUUUCAACUCAAGUAAUGUCACCUUGUGAAGAGGCAGAACUCCAGAGUCAUCUAAUGAAGCUCUGAAAUCCACUGCUGCCUACUGGGGGACCAAGAUUUCAAGACAUUAAAGUUAAAAUAAUUCCCAGAGUCCUGUUGGAAACACAGAUGGCAUGUUCACCAGCUGCAUCGCUAUUGCUCUGACAUGUAUCCACAGUGGCUCUCAGCAAGUUCAGACAAGAAACGGGAAGACUGAUAUCACUUUCUUGCUGUGAGAUCCAAGUCCUAGCUGGGUCAGAAAUCACAUGGUGUAUUAAGGGCUUAAGAUUGAUUCUGGAGAUUUAAACUCCUGUUUUGACCAUACACCAUGAAUGGAAAUGGGCUACAGAAAAAAUAAGUUCGACGGAUCUGGGCCAUGGAGUAAGAGAAGACCGUAAUCAAGGAAAAAAGAAUGAAUUAAAGUGAUAGAUGUGCUUUUAGCAUCCUGUCAAGUAAGUUACACCAUUAGUUUGUUUCUGGAAUCUGACAAAAAAUGACAAUAUUAGGUAUUUUAUGCUAGAGGACAGUCUUUGCAGGGGGCUGUGUAACUCCAUUCAUGGAUACAAUUUCUGUGUUAAAAGGCCAGGAAUAAUCUGCUCCAUUAAAGAAUGGAAGGAAAUCCACUCUCUUCAGGUUGGUUAGCAGUCCCUUUUUCUUCUUUCAGAUGUAGCCCAGAUCUUACUGUAAACUGACUAUUAAGUAAGAACUCUGGUGUCUAUUACCAAUACCUGAAAACUUCAACAUGUUUUCAUCUCUUUAUAGCCAAUACAACAUUUUUUUAUCACUGGGAGUAAAAAGUAAUAAAUACAAAGUAAUGUCCAAACCAGUUCCCAGCCUUCAGAAGACUGUACAACGCACAGAUGGCAUCCUAUACUCAGGUAAUAUAUUUCACUGGAUGAUAGAUGAAGAGAGAUUUCUUAUGGCAUGUAGGGAUGCCAUUUUAACAUCAAAUACAUUCCAACUCCCUUAUCUAAUCUAAUGAGCCAUUUAACAGUUUAUCUAUCAGAUCAAGUCUUUGAAUCAGUUUUGUGCCAUGGGAGUAAAACAUG